GGCUCUGUAGUGAAAUUCAUGUUGAGUUGCAAGCUCAUUGAUGUACGUUAAAGGCGUGCCAGGGUCU
rnacentral:tRNA from 1 species